ACUCCUGCGGGAGGCAGCAGUGAGGAAUAUUGGACAAUGGGUGGAAGCCUGAUCCAGCCAUCCCGCGUGCAGGAAGACGGCCCUAUGGGUUGUAAACUGCUUUUAUCUGGGGAUAAACCUACUUACGUGUAAGUAGCUGAAGGUACCAGAAGAAUAAGCACCGGCUAACUCCGUGCCAGCAGCCGCGGUAAUACGGAGGGUGCAAGCGUUAUCCGGAUUUAUUGGGUUUAAAGGGUCCGUAGGCGGACUGAUAAGUCAGUGGUGAAAUCCGACAGCUUAACUGUCGAACUGCCAUUGAUACUGUUAGUCUUGAGUAAGGUUGAAGUGGCUGGAAUAAGUAGUGUAGCGGUUAAAUGCAUAGAUAUUACUUAGAACACCAAUUGCGAAGGCAGGUCACUAAGUCUUAACUGACGCUGAUGGACGAAAGCGUGGGGAGCGAACAGGAUUAGAAACCCCAGUAGUCCCAUGAU
rnacentral:rRNA from 1 species